rnacentral:rRNA from 1 species
AUUGAACGCUGACGGCAGGCCUAACACAUGCAAGUCGCACGAGUGGCGGACGGGUGAGUAAUGUCUGGGAAACUGCCUGAUGGAGGGGGAUACAUACUGGAAACGGUAGCUACUACCGCAUACCAUCAGAUGUGCCCCGAUGGGUUUAGCUAGUUGGUGGGGUAACGGCUCACCAGUGCGACGAUCCCUAGCUGGUCUGAGAGGAUGACCAGCCACACUGGAACUGAGACACGGUCCAGACUCCUACGGUAGGCAGCAGUGGGGAAUAUUGCAGAAUGGGUGCAAGCCGGAUGCAGCCAUGCCGCGUGUAUGAAGAAGGCCUUCGGGUUGUAAAGUACUUUCAGCGGGGAGGCGUUACCCGCAGAAGAAGCACCGGCUAACUCCGUGCCAGCAGCCGCGGUAAUUC